GAACGGUUGGCUCAGUGGAAGAGCGCUCGCAAGGAGAGGUCGCGGGUUCGAGUCCCGCAUCGUUCA